rnacentral:lncRNA from 1 species
CAAAAACCACACCAGCUCUCAAUUUUUUGUACAAUCAAGAAUCUAACUUCGAUUUGGCUGCGUAAAUAGAAUUUCUCCGAACUUGAUUAGGGUCUCAAAUUCAAACUCAAAAUGAUUGUGAUUCUUACAUCUUAGGAGGUGCAACUCCUGCGAUGAGAGUCUCAGUUCUGGUGUUCUCUGAGAUGUCAGGGUACAUGCCACAGCUGCAAGAAUUCAAGAAGAUGAGGGAAGAAAGAUUAAAGAGAAACUCUUAGGAAGUUUGUUUGGUGCAUGAGAAACAAUUUUCCAAGAAAAAGAAACUCUUACCCGUUGCAGCCGCUGCCGCACUUGCAUCCAGAGCCACAGCCACAGUUUCCUCCGCAGCAAGACAUUUUCUUUAGGGAUUUGGAAGAGGCUUAUCACUUGACAAUUGAAUUCUUCAACUAUAGGAUGAUUCAUAAGGCCCUUGCCUCAGCUCGAAUUUAUCGCGCGGUUGGAGCUGAAAGUCUUUCAUAUCCACCAUACACGUGGAAACAUCUAACGUCAGUAACGUCUGUGUGGCAGGUUCUAUCUCCCCUAGGUAAGAACCGACAAAUCUCUCUCUCUUUGUCUCUCUAACCUUUCUUUCUUUGUCAUCACAAAUCAUAAUAUUUGAAAUAUAUUAAUUAUCUUGCUUAUGACGUGUACGAUAAUUGGUUAGUUUUUUUAUUAAAUCAAUUAAUUGGCUUCUUCUAAACAAAAUCUUAACACCUCUAGUGUUUGAACAAAAUAAAAAAAAUGAUUUCUUUUAUAAUUUUUAAUUUAUAUUAAUAUGCUUGGUAACCCUUCAAAUUGAAUAGAUAAUAUAAUUAAACCGAAUCGAACAUUUAGAAAUAAAAUUAACAACAAAUAGAAAUUAAUUUAGGGUCAAGGAAUUAAUGCUUACUAAAAAAGAAGUAUUACUUGUUUUAAAAAAAAAAGGGUAUUAUUUUUUUCCAGUAGACAAAGUUGUCUGAAUCACAGAGAAAAGGAUGCAAUUAUUUUCUACAAGGAUUAUUAUCACUUUCAUGGAAGAAAUCAAGAGAACAAGUUAAAUUGAAGCCGACAAUUAGAAUAUAUUAUUAUUUUUGGUAACGUAGAACCAUUUUAAAAAUAAGUAAAUACUUUUUCAAUUGAAAUAAGAAAAAAAUAAAAAUAUGUAUGAAGGAUGUAAACGUCAGCUAGAUAUUAAGGCAUGAAUCUUGCAGCUUUGUACAUUAGCAAUUCACUCGCUUGAAUGUAUCAUUUCAUCUUUAACAUUGGCUUUUUAUAAUUCUGGGAUAUAGAUCCUUUUUUUUAAAUUAAAUAUAAAGAAUGCAAAUUAUUACCUUUUUUUUCUAGUUAAUCAUGUUAUGUUGUUUUUAUUUAUUUGAAUGUAAUGAAAAGCAUGCAGUUCUAAACUAGAAUGAAACAAUAGAAUUUUUGACAAGGAAAGUGGGAGAGAGUUACCCUACCCUACUGCUACAAAGAAAGAAGGAUAAAAUCAUAAUGAAAUGGGCAGAGAAUAAGAGGCUUUUGCUUUGGGAAUCCUUCACUUUUGUAGCAAAAAGAGUGGUGCAUGUGAUAUAGCUUUGGUGCUUCAGUUGCAGUGCUAUUUUCUUCAAUCAGAUACCCUGUCUUUAUAUCUAUGUCUAUGUAUAUAUUUUUUUACAAAAAAACUGCCUUUUUCUUCCCAAGCCCAAUGCACUUUUCUUAUCUUCUUUUAUUUGUUUAACAUUUAGGACCUUCAGUUCCUUUUCAGAAGAUCUGUUUCGGCAUUUUGCGACUUGUGCAUGCUGCAGCUGCGGGGGUCCUAAAUGUCUUAAAUGAGCUAAAGACAUGCUUAGAAGCUAAAACUACAACUAUUAGUAGAGCUACAGCCUAAUUUUCAUGGACAGUACACAACUCCACUUUGGUGGGCAUUGAAUUUCCUGUAUCCUUUGAAUGUGUGAAUUCUUCUCUUCCUAACUUCAACAUCUUGUCUACCUUCCUUUUUUUUUCCCUCGUCAAUGAGGGGAUUAUUUUAUUUACUAGCUAUUUAUUGCGUGUUCCCACUAGCUUCAUAAUUCAUCAUUAUUUUGAUCCUCAAAUUCAAAAAGUACCUGUAUUGAAGUAUGAAGAUAGAAGAUAGGAUCUUCCAUAUCUGGGUACAAGCUCCAUCGUUUAGAUAAGGGACUCAUGACAAAACCCACUAUUGUUGAUUUUUCUGCCGCAUUUGUUUUAUGCAAUUCACAUGCAUCAUGCAUGCCCAUCUGAUUUUGGACCACAUACCAGGACAAAAAGAAGUGCAUGAUAGGAAUAGUAGCUCAAGAGAGCUGCCACCAUUGAAUUGGGUCUUUACUCUCACCCAUGGGAAUAUUUAUGAAUGACCUACAUAUAAUGAUUGUGACGAGAGAGGGAGUUUAUCUUUAAAAUAGGACCAUGAUAGUCAACAAAAUAGUGAAUGAGCUUCAUGCUUGAGGUCCUAAGGUAUUAAAAUCCCACUGAUUUUUUUUUUCUAAGACAUUUGAAUCCCAUUUCAUGCAUUAGUGGGGCAUUCUAUCUACUGUCAGGUCUGAUGCUGCUGAGAAGGUUUGGCCGGUAAGAAGCUUAAGAUUAGAUAGAUGUUAUGCUGACGUGCAUAUCAGAUUUCCAUGAUUGAGAUGCGGGAAAUGGGUUGAAAGGACACAGGACUCAAAUGCGGACAACCGGUGGUAGUAGGUAACUCCAACAAGAUUGAUCUCAAUUAGAUAUUAUGGGGCCAGCAGUUAAAUAAAUCAUACAAAGAAACAUGUCAGUUACAUCUGAAAUUUCUAAAAUUCUUGACAAGGAGCACCCAUUGCCGAGGCACCUUCAAUAGCCAACUGCUUGUCCUGCAAUUCCUGCACAAGCUUAGUUUUCAAGGUGCCCCAGGUGCCAUAUGAAACUCGAUAUGCUGGGCAUAAAUUUUUUGUAAAACCUAUCAUAAACAGAACUAGUAUUCCUAUCAAAUUUGUCAUGAACAGUCGAUUUUAACUAAACCAAGUCUCUGCAAUUUCACACUAUCCAUAAGCAUCCUAAGACCAGCUUUUAGUUCUGGUACCCCUUCCUCCAAGACGGCACAAACUGGAUAUAUAGGAACAUCUUGAACUCUUCUUUUCAAUUCUUCAUAUACUUCAUCAGCCCCUGCCUCAUCAAUUUUAUUCGCCACAACUAAGGAGGGCCGAUCAGACAGGCCCUCUUGAUGAUGCUCAAGCUCCAAAACUAAAUCUUUCAAUUGUUCCCACGGUGGAAAUCCCUUUCUGCCAUCUAAUCCAGCAGCCAAGUCUAGCACAUAAGCUAAAACCUUAGUACGUUCAAUGUGCCGUAGGAAAGCAUGUCCAAGUCCACGAUUCUCGUGAGCACCUUUUAUGAGUCCUGGAAUGUCAGCCACUGUGAUUGAGAAGUCAUCAAAAUUCAGUUUUCCUAAAUUUGGCCUAAGUGUCGUGAAGGCAUAAUGACCCACCCUAGGUUUUGCUCUGGAUAAAGCUCCUAAAAGAGUACUUUUACCAGCAUUUGGCAUUCCAACGAGGCCCACAUCAGCAAUGCUUUUCAGUUCCAGCAAAAGAACAGCCUCUGAGCCAGGCAACCCAAUGCUAAGGCAGGAUUGAUCCUCACUGACAUAUCAGGAUCCAAGACCAUAUCCCUAUUGACUCCAGGCUUACUUAACUUGGCCUUCUUUGAAACAUCAGGAGAAGACACAUUACCCAAACCACCCUCCCCUCCACGAGCAACAAUUAUUUGCUGACCCAGUUUUGUUAACUCUGCAACAUCAUAGUGUAUAUGUUCCACACCUGCUGGCUCUCUUUGAAUGGCUUGUAUGCUUGCAAAUUCCUCUGAAGUUCCUUUAGCUUGUGUUAAUGAGCCACCAGAAAUAUCCGAUGGCUCAGCUUCUUUUUCCAUGUUUGUGCUCUUAGAGACAGACUGCCAGUGAGAUUCUGAUUGAUCAGUAUGGAGAGUGCCUGGAAGUUCCCACGGGUCCAAGUCUGUUUUGGAACAGUUUUGGACUGUAGAUGGAAGUUCACCCUUCAAAAGAUGAAUUACAGUCCCGAUAGGUACUUGCACAACCUACUACACACGAGUACUCAUGGUUAGAUAAACUGCCAAACAACAGGUGGCAUCAUAAAAUCUUGCCGUUUAUAGAACUUAUAAAUAGUAACCUUAUCCUCCCCUCGAGUUCCUAUCAUACUCUUUGAAGCUCCAUUCCCCCCUCUCGCUGCAUUCUAUACAAUAAAGGCAGAACUUGAGUGUCCUCAUGCAAUAAUACUAGUAGAGUUGAAAAAAUACUGGAAAGGUAAGGACUACAUACAACAUGAUGGUGUAAACCACUCAAGUCCCAGAUUGCAGGGGAACACUCUAAAAUCACAUCACCACCUCUUCCACCUGUAUUAUUGAAUCCACAUGAACCAGAAUGCUACCAGAAAGACUAUUUCACAAAUUUUAAUGCACUUGCUCGUAAACACCAUGCAAUAAUCAGCUAAAUUUAUGAAGUUCAACGGAAAUAAUGACGAUGAAAGGGAAAAAAUUGAACCCAGUAUGAAGAUUGAGAAACUAGAUAAAUUAUGAUUAAAGAAAAAUAACCAUAAUAAUAUUGUAUCCACUUGGUUUUUAGUAUCACAUCUAGCAUACUUAAUGCUGUUAUAAAACUUGAUCUAAUAAACAUACCAUCAGGUCUGCCGGGGAUCAUGUUGACUUCGGCGAAAACUGGAGCAACCCUUUCCACCAUCACCUCCCUUAGCAUGUAGUGUAAACCUAUCUCUCAUUCUGGUUUCCUACAAAUAGCACCCUAAUAACCCUUUACUAAGAUGAACAAGUAGUAAAAAAAUCAAGAAAUGAUUACACAGAAUUAUGUGAAGCUAUUAGGGUUAUAAAAAUGUGAGAAAUAGGGAAGAAACAAAUAGAUUGGCAGACCUGCAAAGGGGCACACUUUGCUUUUGUGUGAGUAGCGUCUGAACAAGAGAACAAAGACAAAUAGAUCCAUGGAGAUUUAGAAGAUUUUCUCAAGGCAUCUAUGUGGCAAAAGGAUUUUGCGCAGCGUAACCGCAUAACUCUCUUUUUCCUGUCUAGAUAUCCUUCAAAUCCUCCUCAAAUGGAAAAAGUUCGCAUUCAAUUUUUUGCUUAUCUCUGCAACCUAUAGAAAGAAAUAUCUUAGAUACUGAUACAGCAACAGAGACAUUCCUGGAAAAUUGUAAACCAAACCAUGCCACAAUGCAGAUGCUGAACAUGACCCAUACAAGAUAACUAAAGAAAUUGAUAUUUACAGCACUUCACAGCCAGUUCCAACGAAAAGAAUCCGCCUUCCUUUAUUAUAACAUGUCCAGAUAAUCAUAAAAACAAAAUAAGUAUCACUUUUAACAAUCACAUUUACCAAAAUUUGCUAAAUUGUCAGUUGCAAGCAAAGUAAAAGCUUUAUUAAGCCCAACAACUUGUGCCAUAAACAGACCAACAACUGAAACAAUAUGCUAGAAAGGAAUUUGAGAUAACCAAAUAAAAGAUGAAAUAUUCAGGAAUGAGCACAUACAGGCAUCUAAAGGAAACAGACAUUCAAAACAUUCAUCAAAUCAAUAAUCAACAAGAAAAUUGAAUUUUAACAACAAAGAGAGUGGAGAAGGCUAAUAUGGUGUAUUUAACACAAAAUGAAAGAAACUAAAAGACCAAAUUGAUUGAACUUAUAUUCAUCUAAGACCCUUGAAUAAAACUUUCUUUCAGUUUACGGAAAAAAAAAAUUGUUUAGUGAUAAUGAAAACUAAUGGAGUCAAAGGAAAAUGUCCAUUGUUAAAAGAAUUGAACCCAUUCAUAGGAUUCCUCACCAGGCCUUGCAAGGAGUCUCCUUGGCCAUGGUUCUAACAUUAAUGACCAUUCUAAUGCCACCAAUGAGCUUUGGUUUGAUAUUAGGGUCAUCAGCUUGAACCAUUAAAAAAAAGGAACAAAGAAAUAACCAUUCUAAUGUUGUAGGGGGCCAGGGAUUUUAUGGUUACUGUUAGGAUCCCGUGUAGGAUGUAGUUGUGGGUUGUGUGACGAGUCUUUUGGCAAGAUAGGAGAAAACAAGGAUGGAUUUUCUUUUUGCGAUCUAUUUUGAAAAGCUGUCAGGCUUAUCAGGGAGAACAUGCAACCUCUUGAGUUUAAAGUACUCAAAGACCUUUUUGAAAUUUUUUUAGCUAACGUUUAUUAACCUGCUGUCAAUUUAAAUACAAGUUGGAGUUUUAACUCUCUCCUAAAAAAUAAGAACUUAAAAUAGCAUAAUAGAAGCUAACCUCGUACAAAUCAGAAUUUGAAAAUAACUAAAAAAAAUAUGGAAAUAACUAAAUAACUAAACAAAAUAUGCUGGUAACAUCAUAAGACCCAUGAUCUUAGCCACUAUCCAUUACUAUGCAUAAACUCAUAAUCUAUGCCACUAUCCAUUGUUGAAUAACUAUCCAUUAUUGCAUCAAUGACGAAGAAUCUAUUGGAAUGGUGGUUUGCUAACAUUAGUCCCCUCUUCCACUAUGCACUUGUCUUCAAGCGCAAGCUUAGGAAAUUUCUAGGAACUAUUUAGCCAGUGGCUGGUCUAUUGUGACAUCUCCUGGGUCAUCAUCUGCUAACUCCAACUAACUCCAACCAGAAUAGUUUUUUGCACCAGUUUUUGAAAUAUUCCCAUGUCAAGUUCGGAUAGUCUUGUAACAAUUGUAGGAACUAUAGUUGUGUUAUACCCUCCAAGUGAAAUGAAGCUAGAUUAACCUUCUUCUCUUUUGAAGUUUGUUAAUGUUGGAAAAAUUGAUCAUAUCUGUUGAGCCACCCUAAAGGAUCCUCCCGUCCAUUGAAACGGGUAAAUUUUGAAACAAUGGUACUUCUACUUGAAUUUUCAGAACCUAUUACUCCUUUGGCCUUUUGGGUGCGAGAGUGACUACCAAUUUUUGUGAGUUGUGCUGAAUUGACGAUAUCACAAGUGAGAGCUUCUAAUUUUUAAUUUAAUUCAUCAUGCCAGGCCUUAUUGGCGGCUUGCUCUUCUAAGAACAAGGUGAGAAUUCUGCCAAAUUGUUGCUGGAUAGAAUCCCCAUAAUCUCUAGCUCUGAUACCAAAUUGUUAGGAUCCCGUGUGUAGAAUCUAGUUAUAGGUUUGUAUAAUGAGUCUUUUAGCAAGAUAGGAGAAAGCAAGGAUAGAUUCUCUUUUUACAAUCUAUUUUGAAAAGUUGUCAAGCUCGUCUGAGAGAACCUGUAACCUCUUCAGUUUAAAGUACUAAAAGACUUUUUGAAAAUUUUUCUAACUGACGUUUAUUAAUAUGCUAUCAACUUCAAUACAAGUUGGAGUUUUAACUACAUCCUAACAAAUAGAAACUUAAAAUAGCACAAUGGAGACUAACCUCCUACAAAUCAGCAUUUGAAAAUAAAUAAACAAAACAUAGUGGUAACGUCAUAAAACCCGUGUUCUUAGCCACUACAUAUUACUAAUGCAUAAAUACAUAAUCUACGCCACUACCCACUACUGAAUAACUAUCCACUGAUGCAAACUACCCAUUGUUGCAUCAGUGACGAAGAAUCUGUUGAAUUGGUGGUUUGCUAAUAGUUACCUACUGAAAUUCAAGCAUUUUUUUAAUGGCACAACAAUAUUCUUCCACCUUCUUCGAAACGAAGGGAUGGAAAGGAAUUCAUCAGGAUGAUUGAAAGACAAUUAUCAACGUUGAUACAAUACUGAGAGAUACUUCUGGCUUGACUUUUAGCAGCUGAACAGCACACAAGAGACAGAAAUGUUGUCGUAUUAUUGUAAACAAGUUCAAUGCCGUCCCUGAAUCAAUUCCAGAUUGGGUAUUUGAUUUAUGACUAUGAAAGGUGGAUAUUUCAUUGCGAAUUAGCAAGAAUGGGUUUUAGAUGGUUUGCUUUCGAUAAUUGUGUUUGCCAUAUUAUCUUCACUUGGAACUCAAGAGUCAAUCCAUAGCCAAUACAGGUGAGCAGUGCUCAGUUCAGUCCAGACUAAAAAUGAGUAAAAAGCUGAAUCUAAUAGGAAAUAAAAUCAAACCGAACAAAGAGAAAAAAUGAUCUCAACUGGUUUAGUUUGGUUUGGUUCAUCUGUUUUACUUUUUCUUAUCUAUUUGCAGAACCCAUUUUCCUUUAGAAAAGGAAAAAAAUUAUACAAUACUCCCUGUACACUAAAAAUUAGUACUCAUCCUCAUAAAAAAUUAGUUAUUCCUAAAAUAAAAAAAGUGCCCUUAUACAAUUGUGCUUGUGCAGCUGGAGCUGCUAAUAAUCUCUCUUAGAGAAGAUCCAAGCAACAAGAGAGCAGCAAUUUCAGCUUUCAACUUAAACAUAGAAUAUUGUGUAUGUCUAGUUCUAACAAACAGAGCAUGUCAGAUACUAUAGUUGUACACAUAAACGGCAAUCCAUCUUGUCAUUUUGAUUACGAUAUUUGAAUUUUUACAAGGAAAACAAACAAAACACAACGAAAAUCAAAACCGAAACAGCAGAACCUCAGCUCAAUAUCGCACACAAGACUCGAAGCGCAAAGAAAACUUGAGAAAUGAUUCAGAAAAUUGAAAGAAAAUCUGGGUAGAGAAGUGAAGCAAAUGAGGGAAAGAGUGUUGACAUUUUAAAGAUGCUACAAAGGAAUUGAGUGAAACCAGGAACAGCAAAGGGUAAUGAUCGAUGAAACAACUGAACUUGGAGAGCCACAGACAGAAAAUAUGAACACUGGAGCUGCUUGUGUCGUUGAUGGAGGUAGUCGAGUUCAGAGGCCGUACAAGUGGUCCUUCGAGAGAAGAUAUUGAGAAAGGGAAGGAGAAUUGUUUGAUUAUAUAUUCUCACUUCGUCACCAAGAAAAACAAACUAUCAGUAUAUAGAAAUGUAAGUUUGUUUCAUCAUCUAUCAAAGCAAAUCAAAGUAAAAGUACCUUUCUUUGGAGAAAGUAAUUGGAACAUAAAUAGACAUCUAAAACUCAGUUUUAUUUCCAUAUCCUCAGAAACCGGCUCAUCUAAUUAAUUCACUUAAACAAUUAAACAAACCCCUAAUAUAUUUAGAAGAAGAGAAAGACAAAGAAACCUCAAGCGCGCGUUUGUUCAAUUUGAGCUUCCUCAAGCUGUUAAUGGCGUGAAAAAUGUCACCUCGAUAAAUUGGAAAGCCUUCGCGCAUCCAGCUUUGAUAGGCUAAACCAACCGAUUCUCCUCUAGCAAGCUUCUCAAUUCUCAAAGAUAAGCUCUUGGGUGCUUCUUGUUCUUCUGGUUCUAAUAUCUUCUUCUCGGGCGAACAAUUGCUAGUGUAGGUACAGAGAAAAUCGAAAUUGCGAGGAAUUUGGUAGAGAGGCGGACAACUGAUAGAAAGUGUUCGAUGAAUUGCUUGACAGAACCAGCGUCGGCCCAGAACGGCCAGCGCACGCAUGCUUCUUGUCCUUUUCGGGACCUGAAAGCGCGCUUACGCAAAAGAGCCAGAGAUCUUAUUUGAAAAAAGAUGCCGCCACAUGCAAAUGCUAAGAGCCCAAAGUCUUGCCCAGAAGAGAAACCAAAAUUGACGCUUAGCUGCCUACAAUCCAGCCCAGAAGAGAAACCGAAAUUGAAGCUUAGCUGCCUACAAUCCAGCCCAAGUCCUUUUCUGGGAUAUUUUGUCCACGCCAUUAAUAUUUAUAUAAAUUAUUGAAAAUUAAUAUAUGGAUGCAAAGUUCAAUGGAAAUUUGGAAUUGCAUUCUGCUCCCUAAAUUUCAUUGUGGAUAGACAAUUUUUAUUUAUCCAUGAAUCACAAAUGGGUUUGAUAUUUAUUCUCAAAUUUCUUAACAUUUAAAUAUCAAAUUUGAGAUACUAUAAGCACUAAUUAUCUUGUUUUUUUUCUUUGUGAUAGUGAUGAAGAAUAAUAAUGCAAUCAAAACAGAAUCGUAUGCCAUCUUUUCCUUUUUGUAUGGACGUAAACCACAGAAAAUCAUUUUUUAUAUUGUUUCUCCAAGUCCUUUUAUUUAUUACAUUUCAGGUAAUUAAUUAGAAAAAUAUCAUCAAUGAAAUUUAAACUCUAAAAUUUUAAUUAUCAUCAUUGAUUAAACUCUAUUUGACAAUACUAAUUGAUAUAAUAAUUGUUAUUGUCAAUAUAAUUAUUUAGAUAAUAGUUAAUCAAAUAUUAGAAUAAAUAAAUUUUCACAAUUCAGUUUCUUAAUCACUGAUUAUUAAAUAUUAUUUUGAAAAUUAUCACCGAGCAAACGCUUGGAGUUGUACAAUGUGGUGUGUAGGAUACAUGAUUGGUUUUGUAAUUAAUCAACUCAACAAGGGAAGAUAAACUAAUGGGUAAAAAGGUCAUCAUUAAUUCCAAGAUUGCCCUCUGCUGAACAAAGCCAAAGAAUAAAAAUAUAAAAAAGUAGGUUGAUGUAAUGUAAAGUGGAAAAGAAAUUGCAUCGCUUUGUAAUCAAGAUUACAAUGACAAAGAAAAAUGAAUUAGUGGCCACAUUGGAUUAGUAGAAUUUAGGUCAAAUCUAAUUAAUGGCCAACUAAUUUUUUUUUAAAAAAAAAAAAAAAUCAAGAACCCUUGCCAAAAAAGCUUUCUGUAGUAGUCCUUCAUGAUUGCUCUUUUUAUAGGUUCAUGUUGCCCCCUUUCCCCAACUCAGUCCAAAAUUUUCUGCUCCUGUAGUUCAACCUAAAAUUUCUAUUUAUCCACCCUUUUUUUCAUUCAUUUAUUUUAAUACUCUAUUUUUUUUCGUUUCUCAUUUUAUUUAAUAAUUAUAAUUGAGAAUUUCAUUUAUGGGAUUUAUUGAUAAAAAAAUUUAAUAAAAACUUUUUAACUUGUAUGUUUUUUGGGUAAUGUUGUGCCUGUGCGAAUUGUGAAUUUAACUUUUCAUGAAAUUUUAUGUUAUUACAUUCUGUGGCUAUGUGUGCAUGUUAUUAAUAAACUUUAUAUAAAAAUUAAGAAAAUAAAUUAAUUUCAAGUUUCAACUUCAAUACAAAGUGAUAUUGAAAGUGAUAAUCGAUCAUUCAUCAGGAAAGGAAAAAGGAAUUUAUCCGUUAACAUUAAUAUCUGGCUCUAUAUAUCAUCGUGAAUUAAUAUGUAGGCAAUGAUUUGGAUUUGUUUAUCUAGUUUGAUAAUAUAUAUAUCUUGCAAAUAAAAAAAAAUCCCUGUGAACUACUUCCAAAAUUUAAACUCUAGAUAGGAGUAAAUGCAGUGCCAACUUAACUGAUUUUGGAGUGUUUGAAAUAUUGGGUAAAACAAUAAAACCUGAAUCGUGUUGAACACUGUCUUUAAAGAUUUAUUUUAUGAUCCCCCAGGAUUAAACAAGUUCUUCUGAAAUAUACUUCUCAGGAUUAGAACAACAAGAAUUUAUCUCGAAUUUAUAACCCAGCAGGUAACAUAGAGAAAAUAAAUAAUAAAGAAGAAAAUUGGGAGUUUAUAUCUUUGUAAAGAGGAACACUAUUUAUUGUGGAAAACUUGACCGCUAUAUAUGGUUAUAAGAAUCUUGAAAUAAAAUCAUAACGGUUAUAUUUAAUAUUAUAUUUAAAUCUCAUAAAUAAAAUAUUUAAUGACCAUAAAAUCUUUAAUUACCAUAAAAUAUUUAACGACCAUAAAAUCUUUAAUUACCAUAAAAUCUCUAAUGACUAUAAAAUCUUUAAUAACUAUAAAAUCUUUUUGAAAUCUAAACUAAUUUUACAACAAUCCCCCACAGAUUUCAAAAGAUUUUCAUUGCUGGAUUUAGAAAUUUAGAGUGUAUGUUUCGAAUCUGGUGUCUUUUAUACUAUGAACCAGACCUAAAUUAAUAAUACUUAAUAUACAGAGUAAUUGGUGAAACUUUUGUUUCUAUGUACCAAAACUCUUUUUUAUAUGUUAAUUUCUCAUCAAUCUCAUAAUACUCCACAGAUCUUGUUGUCAACGCCGUUUUGCACUAAUAGGCCAUGCGCGCGCCUGGUAAUUCAUAAGUGCUCUAGAGAUUAUGCCACAAUCUCAUAGAAGCGGCCCCACUCCACACUUAUAUAGGUGAUAUCAUCAAGUGUAUACUGCAAUUUAUACACCACCCACAAGGGAUAUGAAUAUCAUUAAAAGAUUUCAUCUCAUCCUCUCAUUAAUGCAGUCUAGUACUUCUCACACCAUAGAAAGGGACAACAAUAAAUAGUGCUAUCAGAAUUAGAAGGUGAUUUGUUAUUACCCAUAUGAACCUUUUUCAUGGGAUCUCUAAUCGCAAAGGUUGGGUUACCAUCACUGUUAAUUUCAAACUGGCUUAGGUCCCAUUCCUCUCGAUGUUUCAUCUAUUAGUUUUCUCUCUAAAGAUUUAGUCAGAGAAUUGGCCAAAUUCACUUCUGACUUCACAUAAUCAAUGAAAAUAGUUCCAUCUUUCAGUAACUGCUUAACAACAUUAUGUCUCAGACGAAUAUGUUUAUUCUUACCAUUGAAAGUUUUAUUCUUUGCAAUGGCUAUUGCCGCUUGACAAUCACAACGCAUUGAUAUAGAUGGUGUUGAUAAAAAAUUCACUAAAUGCAACAAACUCCCAAUGAUCUAUGCAUAUUCAGACUCCAAUUUUCUUUAAUUGACAAUUAGGAUCAUAAGGGGUAGUUACUGGUUUAACAUUGAAAUGUCCAAACUUCCUUAGAAGCUUCUCAACAUAAUGCUCUUAUGAUAGCAUUGGACUAUCAUUCUUCCUUACGAUUCUAACUCUCAAAAUCACAUUUGUCUAUCCCACAUCUUUCAUAUCAAAUUUAGAGGCAAUGAAAGUUUUUGAUUUACAACUAUAUCAUAAUUUGUACCAAAAGUAAAUGCAUAUGAACAAAUAAUCACAGAUUCAUAAUUUAUACGUUCUGUAUAUACGCACUUAUCAAUCAUUUAUACAUUUUGUAUAUACACACUUAUCAACUUCAACAGAGAUAAAACCAUCAUUCAACAAAACUUAAUCAAAUUUCUCAUGCCACUGUUUGGAAACUUGUUUUAAACCAUAUAAUGAUCUAAGAAGUUUGCAGACUUUAUUUUCUUAACAAAAAAUAAUACAAUCAUUAGGUUGAACCAUAUAAAUUUCUUCUUCCAAGUCUCCAUUUAAAAAUGUUUUAACAUCCAUUUGAUAAAUAACAAGUUUAUGCUUAAAACCUAAAGCAAUUAAUACUUUAAUAGAAGAGAUUAUGUUUCAGGAAGUUAAAACAAGUGUAUGUAUAGAAGCUAAAGCAAACUUAUGAACUUGAGUUUAUAGGUUUCAGCAUAACUUAUAAACAUGCAAUCAAAAGUUUUUGAACAUAUUUUUCAUUUCUUAGGAUCAGGAAGAAUUGCUUUAGCAAGACACCCCCACACUUUUAAAUAUUUUAAAUUAGGUGUAUAACCUUUCUAAAGUUCAUAGGGUAUUUUAUCGGUUUUCUUAUAGGGUAUCAUAGUUUGUAGAUAACAAGCAGAUAAUAAAACUUCCCCCAAAAGUUAUUAGGUGAAGAAUAACUUAUUAAUAAAACAUUCAUCAUUUCUUUUAAUAUUCUAAUUUUUCUUUCCACUACUCCAUUGGAUUCAAGUGAAUAGGGUGGAAUAAAUUCAUAUAUGUUUCAGGAAGCUAAAACAAGUGUAUGUAUAGAAGCUAAAGCAAACUUAUGAACUUGAGUUUAUAGGUUUCAGCAUAACUUAUAAACAUGCAAUCAAAAGUUUUUGAACAUAUUUUUCAUUUCUUAGGAUCAUGAAGAAUUGCUUUAGCAAGACACCCUCACACUUUUAAAUAUUUUAAAUUAGGUGUAUAACCUUUCUAAAGUUCAUAGGGUAUUUUAUCGGUUUUCUUAUAGGGUAUCAUAUUUUGUAGAUAACAAGCAGAUAAUAAAGCUUCCCCCAAAAGUUAUUAGGUGAAGAAUAACUUAUUAAUAAAGCAUUCAUCAUUUCUUUUAAUAUUCUAAUUUUUCUUUCCGCUACUCCAUUGGAUUCAAGUGAAUAGAGUGGAAUAAAUUCAUAAAUUAUUCCUUCUUUUUUCACAAAAGUCAUUAAAUAAGAUACAUUCUCCACCUCUAUAUGAUUUUUUUUUAAAUUUUAAUUUUCCUCUUUAAUUGAUUCUCUACUCCAACUUUACACAAUUGAAAUAUAUCAAAUGCUUCGUCUUUGUUUCUGAGCAAAUAUACUUUAGUAUAUCUAGAAUAGUCAUCAAUAAAAGUUACAUAAUAUAUAUAUAUAUUUUUUAUUAAUAUAAGAAGCACUAACAUGUCCUAAUCUAACAUGCCAUAAAUCAAAAGAAUCAAGCAAAAAAGCACAAGAUGAUGUAUUUCCAUUUAUUAUUGCAAAAAUAUUGAGAAUAAAGAGUCUCUGAUUACAAUAACAUUUUUCAAUAAAAAUAUCAUUUUUAGUCAGUAUAAUUUUGUCUAACUCAAAGGACACCUUAAUCUCAUCAUUUCUCAAUAGUGUUACAGAAAUUAAAUUAGCUCUCAUAUUGGAUACAUGAAGUACCUCAUUAAGUGCCAAUGUCUUGUCAGAUGUGAGUUUGAGAAAAACUUUCCCUUUACUAAGGACACUUGCAGUCCUAGACUCACCCAAAUACACAUGUUCUUUUCCUUCCCCCACUAUAAAGUAGGAGGUAAAUGCAUUUCUGUUUGUACAAAUAUGCCUAGUAGCACCAAAAUCUACUACCCAUUCUAGCACAUUAGCUACAAGAAAAGUUUGAGAAAUAACCGCAGCAACAAUGUCAUCUCCUUCAACUAAAUUCAUUUUUGGUUUAGGAGGAUUGUCAUUUAUCACUCUUUUCCUUUUAAAGAUGAGAUUAUUAAACUUGAGUUUAUAAUCAGAUUUCUUGUUUUCAUACCUGUUAUUUGAUUUGUGCACUUUUUCUUUGUACAAGAUUUGCUCUUGUAGCCAACAUCCUUAGCAGUAUAUUUCAAGUUCAUUGAAUCUCAUAUUUUUUCAUUGAAUCCCAUAUUUCAUUGAAUCUCAUAUUUUCUUGGCUUCCUUGUAGGAACAGUAGUUAUCAAAGAAAUGGUUAAAAAGAGUACUGAUAAUUGUAUACCUACAUACCUUAUUAGAAUAGACCCAUAUUUCAUGCAAUUUUGGAUCAACAGCAGGUACAUGUCUUGAUUCUCAAUUUUUGAGAUGUGAGGACAGUAGACAGAAGAGACCCACCAUUUGCAAAAGUAAGAAGCGUGGCGGCGGAAAGAACAACAGAAGUAGUGGUAGUUAUAAUGUCAUUGGAGUAGGCAGUGCAGAAGCAAAGGCAGUGACAACAUUUGAUUCCAUUUGUGUAAAGAUAAAUCCUUAAGAUUGUUGAAAAUAUUGGAUAAAACAAUAAAACCUGAGUCGUGUUGAACACUGUCCUUAAGAAUUUAUUUUGUAAUCCCCAAAAUUAAACAGGUUUUUCUGAAAUAUACUUUCCAAGAAUCAAGACAACAAAAAUUUAUCUGAUUUAUAAUCUAGCAGGUAACACAGAAAAAAAAAAUAAUAAAAAAAAAUUGAGAGUUUAUAUAUUUGUAAAGACGAAAAUUAUUUAUUAUGAAAAUUUAACCGCUAUAUAUGAUUAUAAAUAUUUUAAAAUAAAAUCAUAACGGUCAUAUUUAAUAUUAUAUUUAAAUUUCAUAAAUAAAAUAUUUAAUGAUAAUAAAAUUUUUAAUGAAUAUAAAAUAUUCAACAAUUAUAAAAUUUUUAAUUAUCUUAAAAUUUUGGACUAUCAUAAAAUCUUCUAAACUAAUUUGUUACUUCACGAGUUGGUAGACCAAAUCUAGAUUGUUUUUCAGUAGGUGUUUGGGAGACGUCAUCAUCACCUGCCUCCGGGGUUUCAAACUCAAGAUUGACAAAUAAACAGAGGUUUGCGCUUUUUUUGGGACUCAACCUAACAUGGGGAAGGGAGGAAAAUAGAAACCUGAUUAUCGGGGAUUCCACGCACUCUUCCGGUCAGUGGUAGGCAAGUUAGUUUAGAUGAAAUCAUAAUAAAAUCUUUAUCAUCAAAUCAAUAGCAUAAGUAGUUAUGAAACUCAACAAAUUGAAGUCGAUUAUAACAGAUAAUUAUAGAAAAGAACGAAAGAGGAGGUGGGAAAAGUAGAUCAUAUUUAAGUUAAAAGGAGUUAUAACCAUAGACAACAACACUAAUCGAGUUCCCCUUCCAAAAGUACACAGAAGACCAAGUUAAGACCAGCAAAGCAGAAACACUUAACACAUAAAACAAGCCAUUCAGGAAAUUAAAUCCUCAUACAAGGAUUUUGAUUACCUAUGGCUGUUUUAUUUACAGCAGCAAGCCGACAACUAUUUUACAUAUUCAUUAACAAACCCUUUUGCAUCCGUUUUUUUGGGGAUUUAUUAAAAACAUCAAGUACAGGCUUUGCUAGGUCCAUGUCCAUGCUGCUUUCUCAUUUGCAGUUGCAUGGAUCACAGCUGCAGCUUGAUCCACACUUGCACCCAUUUCCACUCUCAGCACCAAAGUUCAUCUCA